CCCUCUGUUCGACCAGAGGUAGCCUAGGGAUAUUGCGUAGCUGGUAACGGCUGGGUAGGAAGCUUCCUGACAAUGUAGCCCCGUUUAUACGGUGUUGUCCGAUCGUGAGAUUGGCGGCAGAUACUGAUAGCAACAAUCAGUUGAGG
rnacentral:ncRNA from 1 species